rnacentral:tRNA from 1 species
GCCGGGAUGGCGAAAUCGGUAGACGCAGUGGAUUCAAAAUCCACCGGUCGAAAGACCAUGGGGGUUCAAGUCCCCCUCCCGGUACCA